rnacentral:rRNA from 1 species
GACGAACGCUGGCGGCGUGCCUAAUACAUGCAAGUCGAGCGGACCAAAGGGAGCUUGCUCCUGGAGGUUAGCGGCGAACGGGUGAGUAACACGUGGGCAACCUGCCUGUAAGACUGGGAUAACAUCGAGAAAUCGGUGCUAAUACCGGAUAAUAAAAAGAACUGCAUGGUUCUUUUUUGAAAGAUGGUUUCGGUUAUCACUUACAGAUGGGCCCGCGGCGCAUUAGCUAGUUGGUGAGGUAACGGCUCACCAAGGCAACGAUGCGUAGCCGACCUGAGAGGGUGAUCGGCCACACUGGGACUGAGACACGGCCCAGACUCCUACGGGAGGCAGCAGUAGGGAAUCUUCCGCAAUGGACGAAAGUCUGAUGGAGCAACGCCGCGUGAGUGAUGAAGGUUUUCGGAUCGUAAAACUCUGUUGUUAGGGAAGAACAAGUGCCGUUCGAAAGGGCGGCACCUUGACGGUACCUAACGAGAAAGCCACGGCUAACUACGUGCCAGCAGCCGCGGUAA